UUUAAGUAUAGCCAUGAGUUUCCGUUUCUAAUUUUGAUCAUCCGUUUUAUUUGAAAUUUUUGUAUGAUUAAUAUUUUUAUUGUUAUUAAUUAGAUGAUUAAAAUGAAUAGUACUUUAUGCGUGACUUAUAUAUUCUAAUUUUUUCAAAUAAAACUGACGAUUAAAGUUGGAUAAAAAAAACUUACGUGGUUGUGUUUAAA
rfam:Oryza meridionalis cultivar OR44 (W2112) chromosome 9, whole genome shotgun sequence.